rnacentral:misc_RNA from 1 species
GAUGAAGAACGCAGCGAAAUGCGAUAAGUAAUGUGAAUUGCAGAAUUCAGUGAAUCAGCGAAUCUUUGAACGCACAUUGCGCCCGCCAGUAUUCUGGCGGGCAUGCCUGUCUGAGCGUCAUUUCAACCCUCAUGCCCCUAGGGCGUGGUGUUGGGGAUCGGCCAAAGCCCGCGAGGGACGGCCGGCCCCUAAAUCUAGUGGCGGACCCGUCGUGGCCUCCUCUGCGAAGUAGUGAUAUUCCGCAUCGGAGAGCGACGAGCCCCUGCCGUUAAACCCCCAACUUUCCAAGGUUGACCUCAGAUCAGGUAGGAAUACCCGCUGAACUUAAGCAUAUCAAUAAGCGGAGGA